rnacentral:rRNA from 1 species
AACCAAGAAAUUUAGUCAUUCUUUUAUGGUAAAAAGACAGUUAGGCCAUAUUAGUAGAAUUAUGAGAUCUCUAAUAUAGGGGUAAAAUCUAAAUACUAGAAGUUAUCUCAAGCAUGGGUGUUGAGUCUGUGAUAGCUUUAAGGGAAACUGGGAUUGGAUACCCCAUUAUUUUUAGUUGUAAAUUUAGUGAACUUACCAGAGCACUACGAACCCAAAGUUUAAAACUCAAAGGGCUUGGCGGUGUUUUAGACCUCUCAGGGGAACCUGUCUCGUAAUCGAUAGUCCACGUUAAACCUGAUCUCUUGUAGUAAUGCAGCCUGUAUACCGUCGUCGUCAGGUAACUUCUUAAAAUAUAGGAGUUAGCAGGAUAAUCAGAUUAGUUAAGACGUCAGAUCAAGGUGCAGCUAAUAAAGAGGUGAAGAUGGGUUACACUUAUACAUUUAUAAAUACGAAAUAAUACUUGAAAUAAAGUAUUUUGAAGGAGGACUUGAAAGUAAUCUUAAUUAUAUAAAUAAGAUGAAUAUGGCUCUGAAACGUG